ACAAGUUUUGGUCCAUAUUUGGGCCAUCUUCAGGCAGUUUCAUUAAAUACAUCUCACAUUACUGACAUAUCCUAAUAAAAGCUGGAAUAUAGCCUUGUUCAUGUAAAUGACAAAUCGUAAACAGGACAAACAAGAAAAACUGCCUGAUCAACUGCUGCAGUUCCGUAUCAUUAAAUGGCAAUUUUGAAAUGCUGGGAAUGAAGCGGCUUGUUUUGAGGCAUGAAUCUGGCAUCCCCCUGACAGGACUGAAGCAAACAGAAAACAGCAAUGAGUUUAGAAAUCUGCUUUGCACAUUGAUCACCUCAUGACGACGCUUAGGAUGUUCUCCAAAACGCAUCUGGGGACCAUACAGUUCAGACUUAUGGUCUCUGUACUCAUCCACAACGCUUCCCUCUUGAUACUUCAUGGUGACACCUUCGUGUGUAUCUCUAUUACAAAGAAAGAAGCCUGAACAGCAUCUAAUUAUGCAUAAAGAGAGCAUAUCGGAAAUAAUAUGCAGUGACAUAUGAAGAAGUUCCUCUUUACCUGUGUCCAUGCAGGUCAAUGGAGGGAGAAUAUCUUCAAACAGGACAACAUCACUUUCUCCUCAUCUCUCUCUAGCCGCCAUAUAUCCCCUUAUCUCGUUCAUUACCAAAUAACCCCUACAAUUCAAAAAACACUGUUAAAUAAUGUGGUGUAAGUUGUUUCUAAUUGUGCCACUUAUCAAGUGUUCCCCUUGGCACUGAUCUUCAAAAAGUCUUGAAGAAAGAAUGAAAUCACAAAGCUAUUGAAACAAUCACAAACAUGUAGUUACUACAGGAGUUUGACGAUGGUGUAUAACACAUAGAGAUAUCGGGUUUUCGGACUUCACCCAUCAUACUGGUUUUAAG